rnacentral:rRNA from 1 species
CCUACGGGUGGCAGCAGUGGGGGAUAUUGCACAAUGGGGGGAACCCUGAUGCAGCGACGCCGCGUGGGUGAAGAAGCGCCUCGGCGCGUAAAGCCCUGUCAGCAGGGAAGAAAAUGACGGCACCUGAAGAAGAAGCCCCGGCGAACUACGUGCCAGCAGCCGCGGUAAUACGUAGGGGGCAAGCGUUAUCCGGAUUUACGGGGGGGAAAGGGGGCGCAGACGGCGCUGCAAGCCAGGAGUGAAAGCCCGGGGCCCAACCCCGGGAGUGCUCUUGGAACUGGGUGGCUGGAGUGCAGGAGGGGCAGGCGGAAUUCCUGGUGUAGCGGUGAAAUGCGUAGAUAUCAGGAAGAACACCGAUGGCGAAGGCAGCCUACUGGACUGCAACUGACGUUGAGGCCCGAAAGCGUGGGGAGCAAACAGGAUUAGAUACCCCAGUAGUC